UACGAAGGGGGCGAGCGUUGUUCGGAUUUACUGGGCGUAAAGGGCGCGCAGGCGGCUUUGUUUGUCAGGCGUGAAAGCCCCGGGCUUAACCUGGGAACUGCGUUUGAUACGGCAGGGCUAGAGUUCGGGAGAGGAGAGUGGAAUUCCCAGUGUAGAGGUGAAAUUCGUAGGAUAUUCGCAAGAACACCAGUGGCGAAGGCGGUUCUCUGGGCAUGUCCUGACGCUGAGGAGCGAAAGUGUGGGGAGCGAACAGG
rnacentral:rRNA from 1 species